AGUGAGCGCUGGCGGUAGACCUAACACAUGCAAGUCGAACGGCAGCACAGUAAGAGCUUGCUCUUACGGGUGGCGAGUGGCGGACGGGUGAGGAAUACAUCGGAAUCUACUUUUUCGUGGGGGAUAACGUAGGGAAACUUACGCUAAUACCGCAUACGACCUACGGGUGAAAGCAGGGGAUCUUCGGACCUUGCGCGAUUGAAUGAGCCGAUGUCGGAUUAGCUAGUUGGCGGGGUAAUGGCCCACCAAGGCGACGAUCCGUAGCUGGUCUGAGAGGAUGAUCAGCCACACUGGAACUGAGACACGGUCCAGACUCCUACGGGAGGCAGCAGUGGGGAAUAUUGGACAAUGGGCGCAAGCCUGAUCCAGCCAUACCGCGUGGGUGAAGAAGGCCUUCGGGUUGUAAAGCCCUUUUGUUGGGAAAGAAAAGCAGCAGGUUAAUACCCCGCUGUUCUGACGGUACCCAAAGAAUAAGCACCGGCUAACUUCGUG
rnacentral:rRNA from 1 species